rnacentral:rRNA from 1 species
CAGGCCUAACACAUGCAAGUCGAACGCACCUUCGGGUGAGUGGCAGACGGGUGAGUUACACGUGGGAACGUACCCUUUGGUUCGGAACAACUCCGGGAAACUGGAGCUAAUACCGGAUACGCCCUUAUGGGGAAAGGUUUAUCUGCCGAAGGAUCGGCCCGCGUCUGAUUAGCUUGUUGGUGGGGUAACGGCCUACCAAGGCGACGAUCCAUAGCUGGUCUGAGAGGAUGAUCAGCCACACUGGGACUGAGACACGGCCCAGACUCCUACGGGAGGCAGCAGUGGGGAAUAUUGGACAAUGGGCGAAAGCCUGAUCCAGCCAUGCCGCGUGAGUGAUGAAGGCCCUAGGGUUGUAAAGCUCUUUCACCGGUGAAGAUAAUGACGGUAACGGGAGAAGAAGCCCCGGCUAACUUCGUGCCAGCAGCCGCGGUAAU